UACGGAGGGUGCGAGCGUUGUCCGGAAUCAUUGGGCGUAAAGAGCGUGUAGGCGGCCCAGUAAGUCUGUUGUGAAAGUCCAGGGCUCAACCCUGGAAUGCCGAUGGAUACUGCCGGGCUAGAGUUCGGAAGAGGCGAGUGGAAUUCCUGGUGUAGCGGUGGAAUGCGCAGAUAUCAGGAGGAACACCUAUAGCGAAGGCAGCUCGCUGGGACGACACUGACGCUGAGACGCGAAAGCGUGGGGAGCAAACAGG
rnacentral:rRNA from 1 species